GAUAAAGCUUAAAGACAACGGCCGGUGGCGCGUGCUGGCCGAGUUUUCGCAGGAGGAAAAGAGCGCGGUUCUGGACGCAAUAGCCAAGUUUGUCGCCACUUCGAACAACAAGACCUCGACAAGCGUGCUUGACGACCUUAUCGGCUACGUGUACACGCUCGCCGGCGAAGACAAGCGGAGCCAGCUGAGGGAUGCGCGCGAGUUCUCCACGAUGCUAAAUGCCUGCGGCAGGAUAGGCAAGGCAGGCGUGGGCAUCGCUAUAUGCAUGGGCGACAGGAACGCGAUGCUGAGCGCCGGCGAGGAAAUAGUUGGGGCGUACAGGACAACGUUGCGAAACUACCUCUCCACCAUUUUCAGCGAAAAGUGGCGGCUUGUAGACGACGGCAGGAACGCGUUUGUCAACGGCGA
rnacentral:misc_RNA from 1 species